rnacentral:rRNA from 1 species
UGGGGAAUUUUGGACAAUGGGCGAAAGCCUGAUCCAGCAAUGCCGCGUGUGUGAAGAAGGCCUUCGGGUUGUAAAGCACUUUUGUCCGGAAAGAAAUCCUUGGCUCUAAUACAGUCGGGGGAUGACGGUACCGGAAGAAUAAGCACCGGCUAACUACGUGCCAGCAGCCGCGGUAAUACGUAGGGUGCAAGCGUUAAUCGGAAUUACUGGGCGUAAAGCGUGCGCAGGCGGUUUGCUAAGACCGAUGUGAAAUCCCCGGGCUCAACCUGGGAACUGCAUUGGUGACUGGCAGGCUAGAGUAUGGCAGAGGGGGGUAGAAUUCCACGUGUAGCAGUGAAAUGCGUGGAGAUGUGGAGGAAUACCGAUGGUGAAGGCAGCCCCCUGGGCCAAUACUGACGCUCAUGCACGAAAGCGUGGGGAGCAAACAGGAUUAGAUACCCUGGUAGUCCACGCCCUAAAACGAUGUCAACUAGUUGUUGGGGAUUCAUUUCCUUAGUAACGUAGCUAACGCGUGAAGUUGACCGCCUGGGGAGUACGGUCGCAAGAUUAAAACUCAAAGGAAUUGACGGGGUCAUAGCUGUUUCCU